AUUGAACGCUGGCGGCAGGCCUAACACAUGCAAGUCGAGCGGAUGAGUGGAGCUUGCUCCAUGAUUCAGCGGCGGGCGGGUGAGUAAUGCCUAGGAAUCUGCCUGGUAGUGGGGGACAACGUUUCGAAAGGAACGAUAAUACCGCAUACGUCCUACGGGAGAAAGUGGGGGAUCUACGGACCUCACGCUAUCAGAUGAGCCUCGGUCGGAUUAGAAAGUUGGUGAGGUAAAGGCUAACCAAGGGGACGAGCCGUAACUGGUCUUCGAGGUGGAUCAGUCACACUGGAACUGAGACACGGCCCAGACUCCUACGGGAGGCAGCAGGGGGGAAUAUUGGACAAUGGGCGAAAGCCUGAUCCAGCCAUGCCGCGUGUGUGAAGAAGGUCUUCGGAUUGUAAAGCACUUUCAGUUGGGAGGAAGGGCAGUAAGUUAAUACCUUGCUGUUUUGACGUUACCAACAGAAUAAGCACCGGCUAACUUCGUGCCAGCAGCCGCCGUAAGAC
rnacentral:rRNA from 1 species